GCGGAGGAAAAGAAACCAACAGGGAUUGCCCCAGUAACGGCGAGUGAAGCGGCAACAGCUCAAAUUUGAAAUCUGGUCCCCCCGCGGGGCCCGAGUUGUAAUUUGAAGAGGAUGCUUCUGGCAAGGUGCCGUCCGAGUUCCCUGGAACGGGACGCCGCAGAGGGUGAGAGCCCCGUACGGUCGGACGCCGAGCCUCUGUGAAGCUCCUUCGACGAGUCGAGUAGUUUGGGAAUGCUGCUCAAAAUGGGAGGUAAACCCCUUCUAAAGCUAAAUACCGGCCAGAGACCGAUAGCGCACAAGUAGAGUGAUCGAAAGAUGAAAAGCACUUUGAAAAGAGAGUUAAAAAGCACGUGAAAUUGUUGAAAGGGAAGCGCUUGCGACCAGACUCGCGCCCGUCGGAUCAGCCGUCGCUCGUCGGCGGCGCACUCCGGCGGGCUCGGGCCAGCAUCAGUUCGCCUCGGGGGGAGAAAGGCGGCGGGAAUGUGGCUCUACGGAGUGUUAUAGCCCGCCGCG
rnacentral:rRNA from 1 species